CCUACGGGUGGCAGCAGUGAGGAAUAGUGGUCAAUGGGCGCGAGCCUGAACCAGCCAAGUAGCGUGAAGGAUGACUGCCCUACGGGUUGUAAACUUCUUUUAUAAAGGAAUAAAGUGAGGCACGUGUGCCUUUUUGUAUGUACGUUAUGAAUAAGGAUCGGCUAACUCCGUGCCAGCAGCCGCGGUAAUACGGAGGAUCCGAGCGUUAUCCGGAUUUAUUGGGAUUAAAGGGAGCGUAGAUGGGUUGUUAAGGCAGUUGUGAAAGUUUGCGGCUCAACCGGAAAAUUGCAAUUGCUACUGGCAGUCUUGAGUACAGUUGCGGUAGGCUGCAUUCGUGGUGUAGCGG
rnacentral:rRNA from 1 species